GCUUUGGAAAAUCCAUGAAUAAAUAAAUAUGUUAAUGCAAAUAGUUUCCACCUCACAGACAGAUUUGUAAGAGGAUGUCCUUUCCUUAAACUACACUGCAUUCUAAAGCAACUCUCCCGCCUGACAGUAUAUCUGGCAGAACUAGUUAGUAGGAAUGACCCUUACUCAACCAUAAUCUGUACAUAUAAUUGAUGACAGAAUCUGAAAGGAUACUAACAUCUGACCUGGUACUAUUACAUUUUCAAGGUAAUUUGUGUCAUAACGGUUCAUUUAAAAACACGUAAAAGCAAGUUUAUGCAGCAUUGAAUAUAAUCGCUUGUUCACAAUCUCAAGAUCUAAAGAAGCAGAGCAUGCUUUUAAAAAUCAAUACACAAGCCUAAACCUAAUGGAUAAUUCAUUAGAACCAGUUCUGCUGAACCACAGAUUCACAGUGCCAACACAGUCCUCAGCAAAGCUGAGUUAGAAGGUAAGAAUCUAUCCACCCUACCUCCCACUCUGAGGAAGCUUUAGGUGUCAGGAGAAAAGAAGGCUGCAAAGUGGUCCCAGUGAACAAGAAAUUAGAGUCCAAGACAGUUUUAGGAGUAACCAAGUGCUACAUUAGAGCAGAAAGAGAUACGGCUGUAAACACCAGCCCUGGUUCAUUUUUCUAUAUUCUUUAAGUGUAUUGAUCACAAAAGUCUGGAAUUUAGGAGAAUUCUAAGAACCUGAGUGUCUUGAGGGAACAGCAGAGGAGAUGUGAUUGAACGAGGAGUACUGAAGAGCACCAAGCAUGAGAGGACAGAUCUUUCUGAAUGGAAUGUGUCCUGGCUGGCAACAUAACAAGAGAUAAGUCCAUUGAAAAGAAGAAACAGCCCAGCUCACAAACAGCCGCAAAAUCCCAGAAGAAAGAGGAGCCCCCAUGCAGACAUCUCUCAGGACACUCUACCAUAAAUAUAAACAGAAGACUGGAGAGGAAGAAAGGGAAGAGGAGGAUGAGGAUCCACAAAAUCAUGCAUGACUAAUUCUGAGGUCUAGUCAGGAGUACUGAAACUUUUCUUCAUGGAAGGAUAAAGGAAGGUGAGUGCUCAUCCACCAAAAUCCAGUGCGGGAUCCUCCAAAAUGACCAUGUGCAGGAAUUGGAGGUGUCUACAAGAAAGAGAGGCUGGCAUCUCAUUCCCCAGUGUUACUUGAUAAUCGACCCCCAGAGCCUGUCUGAACAGACAGGAGAAUUGAACACAGAUGGCAGAAGUGAAGGAAAGAAAGGGAAGCCAUGUGGUGUCUUGCUAUGUUUGAAUGUGUCAGUGAUCUGUGAUGCAUGAUUUUCAUAUAGGUCAAGAGAACACUGUGGAAGGUAGCAAGGCUUGAGCUAUGAGCUGAUACUCUAUUCAAGAGAGCUCUCUGUUGCUUCAGGAAGCAGCAGGCAUUUGCGGCCAUGUGAUGUACUGAGGGUGAAGGGAGCUGGAGGGCAAGGGAAGAGUUUGAGCUGGAGGCAGAUCUUCCAUGAGAGUAAUAUGAAGUGGAAGUCCCACCCACAGGGCCACCUAAGCAGCUUGUACAUGUGUCCAAACAUCAAUUUCUAUCUUCCCUCUCUCUUUCCAUCUCCCUCUUCCCUAGCCCAACCCACCAGAGGAGAAACAGAAGACGGAAGUGGACUUUAAUAUCAAGUUCCCCCUCCCCCA
rnacentral:lncRNA from 1 species